GUUUCUGUAGCUUAAUAACAAAGCAUCGGUCUUGUAAGCCGAAAAUGGAAGAUAAAACCCUCCCCGAAACAU
rnacentral:tRNA from 1 species